CACAGCGGCCAUACCACAUUGGAAAUACCAGUUAUCGUCUGAUCACGGAAGUUAACCAACGUCGAGCCUGGUUAGUACUUGCAUGGGUGACCGGCUGGGAAUUGAUGGUGUUGCGGCCG
rnacentral:rRNA from 1 species